rnacentral:rRNA from 1 species
GUGGGGAAUCUUGCGCAAUGGGCGAAAGCCUGACGCAGCCAUGCCGCGUGAAUGAUGAAGGUCUUAGGAUUGUAAAAUUCUUUCACCGGGGACGAUAAUGACGGUACCCGGAGAAGAAGCCCCGGCUAACUUCGUGCCAGCAGCCGCGGUAAUACGAAGGGGGCUAGCGUUGCUCGGAAUUACUGGGCGUAAAGGGCGCGUAGGCGGACAGUUUAGUCAGAGGUGAAAGCCCAGGGCUCAACCUUGGAAUUGCCUUUGAUACUGGCUGUCUUGAGUACGGGAGAGGUGAGUGGAACUCCGAGUGUAGAGGUGAAAUUCGUAGAUAUUCGGAAGAACACCAGUGGCGAAGGCGACUCACUGGCCCGUUACUGACGCUGAGGCGUGAAAGCGUGGGGAGCAAACAGGAUUAGAUACCCGAGUAGUCC